rnacentral:rRNA from 1 species
AUUGAACGCUGGCGGCAUGCCUUACACAUGCAAGUCGAACGGUAACGGGCCUUCGGGUGCCGACGAGUGGCGAACGGGUGAGUAAUACAUCGGAACGUGCCCGAUCGUGGGGGAUAACGAGGCGAAAGCUUUGCUAAUACCGCAUACGAGCUACGGAUGAAAGCAGGGGACCGCAAGGCCUUGCGCGGGCGGAGCGGCCGAUGGCAGAUUAGGUAGUUGGUGGGAUAAAAGCUUACCAAGCCGACGAUCUGUAGCUGGUCUGAGAGGAUGAUCAGCCACACUGGAACUGAGACACGGUCCAGACUCCUACGGGAGGCAGCAGUGGGGAAUUUUGGACAAUGGGCGCAAGCCUGAUCCAGCCAUGCCGCGUGCAGGAUGAAGGCCUUCGGGUUGUAAACUGCUUUUGUACGGAACGAAAAGCCUUCUUUUAAUACAGGAGGGUCAUGACGGUACCGUAAGAAUAAGCACCGGCUAACUACGUG